rnacentral:rRNA from 1 species
ACUCAAAUGAAUUGACGGGGGCCCGCACAAGCGGUGGAGCAUGUGGUUUAAUUCGACGCAACGCGAAGAACCUUACCCAGACUUGACAUCGAUGGAAUCUGGUAGAGAUAUCGGAGUGCCCUUCGGGGCCCAGAAGACAGGUGCUGCAUGGCUGUCGUCAGCUCGUGUCGUGAGAUGUUGGGUUAAGUCCCGCAACGAGCGCAACCCUUGCCGUUAGUUGCCAUCAGGUAAAGCUGGGCACUCUAACGGGACUGCCGGUGUCAAACCGGAGGAAGGUGGGGAUGACGUCAAGUCCUCAUGGCCUUUAUGUCUGGGGCUACACACGUGCUACAAUGGCUACUACAGAGCGUCGCGAAGCCGCGAGGUGGAGCAAAUCGCCAAAAAGUAGUCUCAGUUCGGAUUGAAGUCUGCAACUCGACUUCAUGAAGCUGGAAUCGCUAGUAAUCGUGGAUCAGAACGCCACGGUGAAUACGUUCCCGGGCCUUGUACACACCGCCCGU